UCAGGACAGAAAGGGAGCAGCGGUGAUAGCAUAUGUCUGCUGCGGGAUU
rnacentral:SRP_RNA from 18 species